rnacentral:hammerhead_ribozyme from 1 species
AUUCAACUGACGAGCCCCAAAUAGGACGAAACGAGCGUCAAACUGGAU